UACGGGGGGGGGCAAGCGUUGUUCGGAAUUACUGGGCGUAAAGAGCUCGUAGGCGGUUUGUCGCGUCUGCCGUGAAAGUCCGGGGCUCAACUCCGGAUCUGCGGUGGGUACGGGCAGACUAGAGUGCAGUAGGGGAGACUGGAAUUCCUGGUGUAGCGGUGAAAUGCGCAGAUAUCAGGAGGAACACCGGUGGCGAAGGCGGGUCUCUGGGCAGUAACUGACGCUGAGGAGCGAAAGCGUGGGGAGCGAACAGG
rnacentral:rRNA from 1 species